UACAGAGGUCUCAAGCGUUGUUCGGAUUCAUUGGGCGUAAAGGGUGCGUAGGCGGCGCGGUAAGUCGGGUGUGAAAUCUUGGAGCUUAACUCCGAAACUGCAUUCGAUACUGCCGUGCUUGAGGACUGGAGAGGAGACUGGAAUUUACGGUGUAGCUGGUGAAAUGCGUAGAUAAUCGUAAGGAAGACCAGUGGCGAAGGCGGGUCUCUGGACAGGUUCCUGACGCUGAGGCACGAAGGCCAGGGGAGCAAACGGG
rnacentral:rRNA from 1 species